UAGUUCUUUUUAUUGUGGAUAUGAUGAUCAUUUUAGGUCUGGAAAUUCAACCAAGACCCAAGAAAGGCUCCAGGCGACUCAUGCGGCUACAAAUGAUUCAUGAAGCUAAGCCUCAAUGAAGAUUCAAGCUUCUGAUCUGGAAUGACAACACAAGAAGAUUUCAAAUUUCAACAUUGAAAAAUGAAAUUUGGUACACGAAUAAAAAUGUAUUGAAAUAUUGUUUGGGGAAUUUUCGGGAUUGCUUUUCAUAUCACGGUUCAACCAUGGUGUGUAGAAGGAUGUCACCUUUCUUAUCAUAAAGCUUGAUGUUUGAGGGUGAUUAUAUCAAAUGGGAAAAGAAAAGAAAUCUCAUUCAAUGGAAGUUGUUUCUGUAUAAAGUGGAGAUCAUAUAUAUAGGUAUCCUUCUUUAAUAACAUAUUGAGUUAUGUAGGUAGGCUUUAUAGGUUAUCCUAUUGUAUAGUUAUGUUUGACCCAUAAUAAGUUUAUCAUUUUCGAAUUGGGUCUUAGUUUUAGGUCUAUUGGUCUUUAUUUCGCAUUGUAUCUCAUUGUAUGGCUGCACGUAUAAAUAUACAAUUUAAGGUUAACCAAGUUAUGGUUUACUUUUCAUGAACUCAAAUAAUGGCGCUUCAUGAUAGCAUUAUUUAAUUGGUACAAAACAAUUGUAGUUGUGGGAUUAACUAUGGUUGCUGGAGAG
rnacentral:lncRNA from 1 species